AACUGACCGCCCGUGCGUCACACCUGGGAGCUGAGCUGAAGCCCAUGAUUUGAUCCGCGAGCCAUUAGACGCCAGAACGAGCAGACCAUGGGCUAAUAGAAUAGUGUCACAUGACGUUUCGAUUACAACCCAGACCAAGGGACUCACUAACUGUUCACUACAGGUCUUAAAGGGAUCGAGACACAUGGAAAACAUCAGGUUGGGUCACCACAGCAACCUUGGAUGGAGGCGAAAUAAGAGGAGAGGGCGAUCGCUCAUUAUGGACUGCCCAACAGAAACUCMUCCCUCAUCUGGAAAGAAUAGGAAUUACACCUCGGGUGCAGUCAUCUAGUUUUAACAGAUUCCAACAUACUGCCACAACUGGGCAGAUUAUUUGGCUAAGAGGACCACUGGAACACAAACAUGUCGUGAUGUGUCAGAUUACUACCUGGACAAAAUGCAUCCGAAUACUACCUCUACUAGAACUGCCUCUACAUACGAGAUAGACAAGAUGAGACCAGAGCAUGGGCUAUCAGAAGAUGAUGAUGGCCUCCGAAAUUAUAAACGGAUAUUGUUCCAUGGGUUUGUGUAGCAAAAGUACAGGAAUUCAUUAGAAACACUCAAUAUGAAGUGAUCACAUACUCAUCUAUUCCUUUAAUAUUAUUUUGGCUUUGUGUGAUUCUGUGACUAAAUCUAUUCUGUAUUUGUGAUGAAGUCUUCUAAUAAAUCUUUAUUUGGCUA